UUCUUGUAGUUAAGGUUUGUAUAACGACAGCUUUUCGGGCUGUAAG
rnacentral:tRNA from 1 species